rnacentral:rRNA from 1 species
AGUAACGACGUGGAGUAACCUAGCCAUACACAGGGGGAUAACAGUUAGAAAUGACUGCUAAUACCGCAUAAGCGCCCGAGGGGGCAUCCUCUCGAGUGAAAAGCGAAUACGGUGUAUGAUGGGUCCGCGUCCGAUUAGCCAGUUGGCGGGGUAAGAGCCCACCAAAGCGACGAUCGGUAGCCGGCCUGAGAGGGUGAACGGCCACAUUGGGACUGAGAGACGGCCCAAACUCCUACGGGAGGCAGCAGUGGGGGAUAUUGCACAAUGGGGGGAACCCUGAUGCAGCGAACCGCCGCGUGAGUGAAGAAGUUAUUCGUAAUGUAAAGCUCUAUCAGCAGGGAAGAAGCAGACGGUACCUGACUAAGAAGCACCGGCUAAAUACGUGCCAGCAGCCGC